GACGAACGCUGGCGGCGUGCCUAAUACAUGCAAGUUGAGCGCUGAAGGUUGGUACUUGUACCAACUGGAUGAGCAGCGAACGGGUGAGUAACGCGUGGGGAAUCUGCCUUUGAGCGGGGGACAACAUUUGGAAACGAAUGCUAAUACCGCAUAAAAACUUUAAACACAAGUUUUAAGUUUGAAAGAUGCAAUUGCAUCACUCAAAGAUGAUCCCGCGUUGUAUUAGCUAGUUGGUGAGGUAAAGGCUCACCAAGGCGAUGAUACAUAGCCGACCUGAGAGGGUGAUUGGCCACAUUGGGACUGAGACACGGCCCAAACUCCUACGGGAGGCAGCAGUAGGGAAUCUUCGGCAAUAGACGAAAGUCUGACCGAGCAACGCCGCGUGAGUGAAGAAGGUUUUCGGAUCGUAAAACUCUGUUGGUAGAGAAGAACGUUGGUGAGAGUGGAAAGCUCAUCAAGUGACGGUAACUACCCAGAAAGGGACGGCUAACUACGUG
rnacentral:rRNA from 1 species